CUUUGCGAGGCACGCGAAGGAGCCCGACAGCCGCUAUUGCUAUCG
rnacentral:tRNA from 1 species